UGCGCUCCUCUCAAUCCCUGAGACCCUAACUUGUGAUGUUUACCGUUUCAAUCCACGGGUUAGGCUCUUGGGAGCUGCGAGCCGUGCC
rnacentral:pre_miRNA from 1 species